AACGAACGCUGGCGGCAGGCCUAACACAUGCAAGUCGAGCGAGACCUUCGGGUCUAGCGGCGGACGGGUGAGUAACGCGUGGGAACGUGCCCUUUUCUACGGAAUAGCCUCGGGAAACUGAGCGUAAUACCGUAUACGCCCUUUGGGGGAAAGAUUUAUCGCAGAAGGAUCGGCCCGCGUUGGAUUAGGUAGUUGGUGGGGUAAUGGCCUACCAAGCCUACGAUCCAUAGCUGGUUUGAGAGGAUGAUCAGCCACACUGGGACUGAGACACGGCCCAGACUCCUACGGGAGGCAGCAGUGGGGAAUCUUAGACAAUGGGGGCAACCCUGAUCUAGCCAUGCCGCGUGAGUGAUGAAGGCCUUAGGGUUGUAAAGCUCUUUGAGCUGGGAAGAUAAUGACGGUACCAGCAGAAGAAGCCCCGGCUAACUCCGUG
rnacentral:rRNA from 1 species